GACGAACCGUGCGAACGUUAUUCGGAAUCACUGGGCUUAAAGCGCGUGUAGGCGGGGCGGCACGUCGGUCGCUGAAAGCCCCCGGCUCAACCGGGGAACGGGCGCCGAUACGACCGGCCCUCGAGGGACGUAGGGGGACCUGGAACUUCCGGUGGAGCGGUGAAAUGCGUAGAGAUCAGGAAGAACAUCCGGUGGCGAAGGCGACACGCUGGGCCGUACCUGACACUGAACCGCGACAGCAUGGGGACGCAAACAGG
rnacentral:rRNA from 1 species